rnacentral:rRNA from 1 species
CCUACGGGUGGCAGCAGUGGGGAAUAUUGCACAAUGGGGGAAACCCUGAUGCAGUGACGCCGCGUGAGUGAAGAAGUAUUUCGGUACGUAAAGCUCUAUCAGCAGGGAAGAAAAUGACGGUACCUGACUAAGAAGCCCCGGCUAACUACGUGCCAGCAGCCGCGGUAAUACGUAGGGGGCAAGCGUUAUCCGGAUUUACUGGGUGUAAAGGGGGCGUAGACGGCGGCGCAAGUCUGGAGGGAAAUCCCAUGGGUUAACAAUGGAAUUGCGUUGGAAACUGGGGAGCUAGAGUGCAGGGGGGGUAGGCGGAAGUCCUGGUGUAGCGGUGAAAUGCGUAGAUAUUAGGAGGAACAC